rnacentral:rRNA from 1 species
GCUAGAGAUAGCUUAGUGCCUUCGGGAACUCUGAGACAGGUGCUGCAUGGCUGUCGUCAGCUCGUGUUGUGAAAUGUUGGGUUAAGUCCCGCAACGAGCGCAACCCUUAUCCUUUGUUGCCAGCACGUAAUGGUGGGAACUCAAAGGAGACUGCCGGUGAUAAACCGGAGGAAGGUGGGGAUGACGUCAAGUCAUCAUGGCCCUUACGAGUAGGGCUACACACGUGCUACAAUGGCGUAUACAAAGAGAAGCGAACUCGCGAGAGCAAGCGGACCUCAUAAAGUACGUCGUAGUCCGGAUCGGAGUCUGCAACUCGACUCCGUGAAGUCGGAAUCGCUAGUAAUCGUAGAUCAGAAUGCUACGGUGAAUACGUUCCCGGGUG